GAGCCGCGAGGCGUGGAGGCGGGAGGGGCCCCGGCCGGCAUCCCUGAUUGGCGCGCGCACCAGGCCUUCCCACGCUUUUGCGUUGCUCCACGUCAGCGCUGCUUGUAUGUUGUGCAAAAUCCACGACGCAGAGCGGAGCCAUAUGGUGCGGAGUAGUUCUACCUCCCUGUUCCCGGGCCUGGGCCUCAGCUACCGGAGCCCAGCUAACCAUGGUUUUCCUUCCACGCUACACCCUUAGAUCAAAGGUUCUCAAAAUGGGCUGCAAGCUGGGAUCACGUGGAAAGCUUUUGCGUUGUGGUCCCGCUCCCUGAGAUGCAUUGCAUUGAGAGAAUUUGCAUGUGCAUGUGUGAACAGAAGAGGAGCAGAGGAAGAGGAAGAAAGAGAAUCUCAAGCAGACUCCUGCUGAGCUUGGAGCCUGACACUGGACCUCACAACUCUUUUGAGAUUAUGACCUGCGCUGAAAUCAAGAGUCAAGAGCUUAACCUACUGAGCCACCCAGGACGCAGAAGACUCGACAGUGUGAAAUAUGAAUGUGGUAUUUUGGAAAAGCAAAGGUAUCCCAUAUCAGAGGCAGUACGGUAUAUUGGCAAGAGGAAGGGGCCAGGAGCCAAACAAACUAAGGAUAAAUCUUAGCCCAAUCAGGAAAAUAACAAGAGUUUUUCCCCUCAGACUCAUAGAGUUCAAGGCAUACUGAAGAUAUACUUCCUGGGGCUUGUAAUGUGUGUUGUCUUCGAGCUGGCAAAGGAGUCCCCGAUGGGAAGAGUACUGUGAAGCUAUUGGCUCCUGAUUCAUCGACUCCCUAAUAAACAGAAAAAUAAUAUGUA